AUUGAACGCUGGCGGCAGGCCUAACACAUGCAAGUCGAGCGGAUGAAGGGAGCUUGCUCCUGGAUUCAGCGGCGGACGGGUGAGUAAUGCCUAGGAAUCUGCCUGGUAGUGGGGGAUAACGUCCGGAAACGGGCGCUAAUACCGCAUACGUCCUGAGGGAGAAAGUGGGGGAUCUUCGGACCUCACGCUAUCAGAUGAGCCUAGGUCGGAUUAGCUAGUUGGUGGGGUAAGGGCCUACCAAGGCGACGAUCCGUAACUGGUCUGAGAGGAUGAUCAGACACACUGGAACUGAGACACGGUCCAGACUCCUACGGGAGGCAGCAGUGGGGAAUAUUGGACAAUGGGCGAAAGCCUGAUCCAGCCAUGCCGCGUGUGUGAAGAAGGUCUUCGGAUUGUAAAGCACUUUAAGUUGGGAGGAAGGGCAGUAAGUUAAUACCUUGCUGUUUUGACGUUACCAACAGAAUAAGCACCGGCUAACUUCGUG
rnacentral:rRNA from 1 species